UACGUAGGUGGCAAGCGUUGUCCGGAUUUACUGGGCGUAAAGAGCGCGCAGGCGGUCGAUCAAGUCGCGUGUGAAAGCCCCCGGCUCAACUGGGGAGGGUCACGCGAUACUGAUCGACUCGAAGGCAGGAGAGGGUAGUGGAAUUCCCGGUGUAGUGGUGAAAUGCGUAGAUAUCGGAAGAACACCAGUGGCGAAGGCGACUCACUGGACACAUAUUGACGCUGAGGUGCGAAAGCGUGGGGAGCAA
rnacentral:rRNA from 1 species